rnacentral:rRNA from 1 species
UACGUAGGGUGCAGGCGUUGUCCGGAAUUAUUGGGCGUAAAGAGCUCGUAGGCGGUUCGUCGCGUCGGCUGUGAAAACCUGAGGCUCAACCUCAGGCCUGCAGUCGAUACGGGCGGACUUGAGUACUGCAGGGGAGACUGGAAUUCCUGGUGUAGCGGUGAAAUGCGCAGAUAUCAGGAGGAACACCGGUGGCGAAGGCGGGUCUCUGGGCAGUAACUGACGCUGAGGAGCGGAAAGCGUGGGGAGCGAACAGG